rnacentral:hammerhead_ribozyme from 1 species
AUCCAGUUGACGAGUCCCAAAUAGGACUAAAUGUGCAUCCUGGGU